rnacentral:rRNA from 1 species
AUGGCUCAGGAUGAACGCUAGCUACAGGCUAACACAUGCAAGUCGAGGGUAGCAGGGUAGCAAUACCGCUGACGACCGGCGCACGGGUGAGUAACACGUAUCCAACCUUCCCAUAACUCAGGGAUAGCCUUUCGAAAGAAAGAUUAAUACCUGAUAGUACUUUUUCAAGGCAUCUUGAGAAAGUUAAAGAUUUAUUGGUUAUGGAUGGGGAUGCGUUCCAUUAGAUAGUUGGUGAGGUAACGGCUCACCAAGUCUUCGAUGGAUAGGGGUUCUGAGAGGAAGGUCCCCCACAUUGGUACUGAGACACGGACCAAACUCCUACGGGAGGCAGCAGUGAGGAAUAUUGGUCAAUGGGCGAGAGCCUGAACCAGCCAAGUAGCGUGAAGGAUGAAGGUCCUAUGGAUUGUAAACUUCUUUUAUAGUAGAAUAAAGUGAUCCACGUGUGGAUUUUUGUAUGUAUACUAUGAAUAAGGAUCGGCUAACUCCGUGCCAGCAGCCGC